UACGUAGGUGGCAAGCGUUGUCCGGAAUUACUGGGUGUAAAGCGCGUGUAGGCGGCAGACCAAGUCGGCGGUGAAAGCGCCCGGCUCAACUGGGCGAGGUCCGUGGAAACUGGUCAGCUGGAGGACGGUAGAGGCGAGUGGAAUUCCCGGUGUAGUGGUGAAAUGCGUAGAGAUCGGGAGGAACACCUGUGGCGAAGGCGGCUCGCUGGGCCGGUCCUGACGCU
rnacentral:rRNA from 1 species